CCAUAACGACAGGGGAGCCGAAUAGGCUGAGAGUGUCCCGGUGGACAGACCCUCGCACCUGAACCAGGUAAUGCUGGCGCAGGAAGUCGAGUCUCUUACUUG
rnacentral:ncRNA from 2 species